ensembl:lncRNA
AAUUUUUUUAUUCCUUUAGGUUGUGAAUUGCGCGCCAACAUUUUACUGCCGCUUUUAACCCAAUCCCUCCAAAUUAGAAGAGGUGCGUGAGGCUGACCAAUGGGCGAUCUGGAUGCAAUUAUAGUUUGAUUUCUUCCUGUUGUCAGAUCCAGGAUUUGAUCCAGAAACGUUAAGGUUUCUGUCCCAGCACUCCCUAAUCUCUUGGGCUACCUUUCACUGUUUCUGAAAAGGGGAAGGAAUCAAUUAAUUUGUCAUCAAGUAGUGAACUAACCUGGCCUGCCAAGUGGCUAUUAUUAGCCUGCAAGGUGCUCAGAGGUUUACCUGCUGAGGAAGGUAAAGUGUUUAACAAAAUGACAAACAAUCUGGUCCUUAUGUCCAACAUGUUGGCCCGGUUUGGACAUCUAUCUGUUUACAACCAGGGUUGCAGUCAAUUCUAAUUACAUUUCACUCAGUUUAGCUACGCUGGAAUUCAGUGUAUCUCAUUUUCUUCAAUGCUUUGUAAUUGGAUUCUGGUCUACUUUGGGACUUGACCGCAGAUGACCUUGACCUUGUUUACAACCAUGUACAUUAUUAUGAGGAAUGUUACUAGUAUUUCAGUUCGAAGUGCCAAGUUCUGGUGUGUUUCUUACAUCUCCAUCCAUUAACACACUGACGCAACUGUCUAGCUGGUGUCCCAGUGUUUGUUGGAAACACCACACAUUUCUGUGACUCAUGUAUUUGACGUGUAGGUUUGUGUUGUUUUUUUUUUGACAUCCUGUUCUAAUAUAGGUCAAGUUGAUCAUGGAAAAGCAAGUAAACAGUUAUAUGGUUGACUUGUUGUUGUUGUUAUUUAUUUGUCGCAGACAGUUGUGGACAUCUUCCUCAUCAUCUUCAGCGGCGUCCCUUUGAUAUUUAGAUCAUCUUCUGAUUCUCCUGAUCUCUUUCUAGCUUGGGUGUCUGUCUGUUUCUCCUCUCUUGCCAACUCAUGGAGGCAUGUUUAUGCAAAACAAUUCGCUUGACAAUGACAUUGAUUUUGUUAAAAGCACAAACAGACCUCAGACCCAGGCUAAUCUUUCAACAGGGAUGAUCACAUUGAUGAUGAUGAUGAAGAUGGUGUGUUUUAUAUUGGGGAAUUUUACCCUACGCCCUUUUCUCUGCUGUAGGGUGAAUACCCCUAGAUUCAGAUCCUGGGUCAGGUUUUAGUUUUCCUCACCAUUGUUUAUGAUUGGGGAGAAGAAGCUGGCCCUAGAUAAGUUAUACCUGGGGAAAAUGUCACCCCAGAGCUGUUUUCUCAUGCUCAUGUUUCCUACCUGAAAAAAAAAGUAUUGGUGUGGAUCACAAUGAUGGACUUGUGACUUUUUAUUGAAGCUGUUCUACAUGUUUUAGUAGUGGGAAGUGAAGGAAGAAAGAAAAGUGUUUGGUUUUCUCUGUUUUGGUUCUUUCACCAUAUUUGUUAUUUUCUAUCUCAAAGUGAUGAUGAUGAUAAUGUUGGAUGUGUCCAAAUUGCUCUCGCUUUGGGACCAUCACCUGGAAUAAAAAAUGAUCUUGCAGGCGA